CGCACGGGCAGCAAUGUCAGUGGCGGACGGGUGAGUAACGCGUAGGAACGUGUCCUGAGGUGGGGGACAACCCCGGGAAACUGGGGCUAAUACCGCAUAUGGGCUGAGGCCCAAAGCCGAGAGGCGCCUUGGAGCGGCCUGCGUCCGAUUAGGUAGUUGGUGGGGUAAAGGCCUACCAAGCCUGCGAUCGGUAGCUGGUCUGAGAGGACGACCAGCCACACUGGGACUGAGACACGGCCCAG
rnacentral:rRNA from 1 species